GACGGAGGGUGCAAGCGUUGUUCGGAUUGACUGGGCGUAAAGGGCGUGUAGGCGGUCGGCCAAGUCUGAUGUGAAAGCCCGAGGCUCAGCCUCGGAAGUGCGUCGGAAACUAGUCGGCUGGAGCGCGAUAGAGGAGGGUGGAAUUCCUGGUGUAGCGGUGAAAUGCGCAGAUAUCAGGAAGAACACCCGUGGCGAAGGCGGCUUUCUGGGACGGUACUGACGCUGAGACGCGAAAGCGUGGGGAGCGAACAGG
rnacentral:rRNA from 1 species